rnacentral:rRNA from 1 species
CGUCAGAAAAUAAACAAUAAUUACAACUUUCAACAACGGAUCUCUUGGUUCUGGCAUCGAUGAAGAACGCAGCGAAAUGCGAAAAGUAGUGUGAAUUGCAGAAUUCAGUGAAUCAUCGAAUCUUUGAACGCACAUUGCGCCCCUUGGUAUUCCAUGGGGCAUGCCUGUUCGAGCGUCAUUUUGUACCCUCAAGCACUGCUUGGUGUUGGGCGUUUGUCCUGCAAAGGACUCGCCUGAAAGCGAUUGGCGGCCAACGUACUGGUGGUAGAGCGCAGCACAAUUUGCGUCUCUCCCUUCUACGUUAGCGUCCAUGAAGCCUUUUUCAAACGUUUGACCUCGGAUCAGGUAGGGAUACCCGCUGAACUUAAGCAUAUCAAUAAGCGGAGGAAAAGAAACCA